CUUCUCCACACUGAAAGGGAUGUACCCCCUCUUCCUUCCCUCCCCGUAGCUGUGGUCCUGCCUCCUCCUUGAGCUGGGAGUAGCACCUGUUGGUUCAGUUGACAUGAAGAGCAGAAAAAAUAUUAGUUUUUAAGCGGCUGAGUCAUGGGGUUUUUGUGGUUUGUUUGUUUGUUUGGCUUUUUUUGUUGUUUUUUUUUGGGGGGGGGGGGUUGUGUGGUUUUUUUGGGUGUUUUUUCCCUCCUUCUCUCUAGGUUUAGUGUGCUGAGCCGUCUCUAGGAGGCUGGUAAGCUGGGGAUCCCAUGCAAAGAGGUGGUAGGAUUGGUGAGGAGGGGGGUGAUCCCUUUAGUCAACAGUUAGACCAAGCUCAGCUGCGGUGGCAACCACAGCCUAAUUAACCAGCAAGAGCUGUGACAUGCUCAGCAUUUUCCCCUUCUCUGAAUGCCACAGAGCUUAGACUAAGCAGCACAUUUGCAAUGCCAGGAAGAAGUCUACUUUUAUCCACAAAUUAAAACUUUCUAAUUAUCUGUGAUUUUUAGGUAACUUCUUUUAUAAUUUCUUACUAUAUAUUUUUCAUUUUUCCCCUUUAUUUCUUAGACACAGAGAGGAAGAAAAAGCUUUUUUAAAAAGCAAAAAAUCCUGACAGGCAAAAUUUUGAUGCUUAUUCACUAAUACAACUAAAUUAAUAGGGUAUUUUUUUGCUUGGUUAGGAAAACAGGAUUUUCAAAUAUUAAAAGAAAAGAGCAGGCAAAGAUUGCCAGUUCAGAUGGCUAUUUUGGCCCGUAAAUAAAUAAAUUCAUGUCAGUAAUUUUGAGCCACUUCAGAUCCUACAGACCAGAAAAGUGGAAAGCCACUCCUUGAAUUGUAAGAUGUUUGUGGAAAUAAUUCCCUUUGUCCUACAAGGAGAAUUAGGGGAUCUGCUCAGACAUUCCUGGUGGUUUCACUGAAGGAGAUGAGAGGGCUGGACUUGCUUUUGCAUACGCAAAGAGCAAUAAAACAAGCAGCCAAAUGGUCAGAGAAGUCCCCGUAAACAUAUCAAAGUUUAAUGUUCAGUUUAUGUAGCGGGCCUUGAAUGUCUAUAGAAGAUGGAUUUAAGCUGGGCUGUCAGGCUUGGAAGCAACACAGGCGCAAAUGCAUACUUGGUUUUCCAGCUCUGCUGAGAGGACAGUAACAGGGGAAGGAAGGGGGACCAGAAAAUGGGUAAGAUUUUAAACCACUGGUUCGUGAGUGUUUGGUAUGUGAAUGCAUAUCAACAUGUAUAGUAAAGGAAAGAUGUGCAGCGUUUGCUUUGUUUCUUUUUUCCUUCUUUUUUUUUUUUUUCUUCUUGUGCAGCCCUGUCACUUAACACAGAAAACACCAGGACCUCAAACAAGCAACAGCUUCUGCCAUUGAUGCCUAUAAUAGGACUGUGCUGGUGAUAAAUUACAGCAAUGAGCUUGUUAGCAGAGUCCAGGCCUUAAACACUUGCUUAGUUACCGUAGCUAUAGCUCCAGAUCAUCAAAGUGCUCGAGGGGACCCAAUGCCUGUGACAGGAAAGCUCCUCUAACUCAGGCUCUGCCAGGGGAAGAAGGGGCAGGAUUUCCAUCUCUCUGCCUUACAGGGAUGUUAGCAAAAAGACUCAGCAGCACUCAGUAUGGCCCUACUUUGCUGCAACGAUAAGUAGUGACAGCAUUUUUUAAUUUUUCUUUUCUUUUACUGUAUUAUUUGACCUCCUGUUAAGGUGUGAACUGACUAGUUCUAUAAAGAAAAAACUGCCUGAGCCUAUUCUGCAUGCAGAAACAGCUUCUCUUCAGUCUUCCAUGAAAAGAUUUAGAUGAAACAGAAGAUGGGAGCUUGUUUCACUCAAUACUGAUCAAAGUAAUGUAAUAUGUAUUUGCUUUUCUCAGUUACAGGCCUGAAAUGGGAUGCUCUACUGAAAACACUUAUUUUUUUUCUUUUUUUUUUUUUUCCCCUCUUUUACAAUCUUAUCAUUUUAAUGCUGCCUGCUAUUUAUGCCUGAAGGAAGGGAAAGGAGAGAACAAUAACUUGAAGCACUGUGACCUAGGUUUAGGGCAACAAGAGCUGAGGAAAUUCAGCAGCAGAUCCACAGUUGCAGGCUGAUGGAGGCAGGCCAGGAGGAGGAGGAGGCAGAGGAAGCAGUAGCUCAUAGCUGCAUCUGCUGGCUCAGUGCAGCUGAGGGCCUCCUUUACUGGUGCUGCGUCAGUGCGUGUGCUUGGUGGUCAGGUUUGAUGGCCUCAUCUGUCUGGCUUCAAAAUUUCGCCCAUGUCUGGUGCACUUCUGAUCUGUGGCAGAGCCAGAAAAACUGCCCAAGGAGAAAAAAGCAGUGUCCAGGUGGGGUCCCUGCACCUGUGAAGCACAGCCAUGGCCUCAAGACUCUGCUGCUUUGGCUCAGUCAGACUGUGGUUUCUCUCAGAGGGGUGCCAGGGGCUUUUCCAGCCCCCUUAGCCCAUGGUCUUUGCAGCACGAAGCACAGUGAGGGAGUUGCCCACCAUGGAGGUGGAAACAGGAGGAAAAUAGUUUGUGCAGCUCCUGCCAGGAGUAGAGGAGAGCAUGGAGUGCCUAUGACAUUGGGAGAUUUAGUGUCAGGGAAUGGGACAGGUGGUGCAGGGAUGUCCCUGGAGGAGAUAGAGAGCACCUGUGAGAUAAACGGACCUUGAGAAGUUAUGGGGUGGGAUGAGAAGGCCAGAAAGGCAGCAGCUUUUUGUACAGCUACGUUUGGGGUGACGUAUCAAGUGCGUUGCUUUUGAAUGGGCAAAACAAAUCAUUGAACUUGGCUGUGUUUGGAUGUCUGACCAUCUGUGUGCUUAAUUACUGUCCUUUUCUCUUUUAGGAUCUGGUCCAAGCUACAGUAAAGUCAGCAGAACCUUGUUCACUUAAUGGAUUGUGCCAUUUAGGGCCAAGAUAUUUUUUCCGCAAAUAUUUUAUGAUUUGGGUGGUGAGCAGGAAGGCAAUUGGCCGGUCCUGUUUCCUUUCCUUGCAAUUAAUUUUGGGCAGGGAAAAUUUUGUUCUUUUUAGAAAAUAUCUUCUUUUAAACCAGAAUGUUUGUUUUUGCAAAAUUAUGUGUACUUUUAAGAAAACUUUUAAUGAUUGAAUGAAAAAAAACAAUGCAGAUUUUUUUUGUGGUUCUACAUUUCUAAUUUAUUAUUUUUUCUUGUCUCCCUUUUAAGAAGCUAAAAGGGGAGGAAUGAAAGGAGUAAUUAUAAACUUUUUCAGUAAGAGACUUUUGAAACUGAGCAUCUUGAAAAGCCCAAAAGAAAAAAAAACCAGUUUAUACAGAGUAUGACAAACUUCUUGCCUCUGACCUUGAGUAUAUUUAACUUAAAUAGUGUUCAUACGAAUUCUAGGCAGUCACCUGGAAGGAGAAAUAAUCAUAGAAUGGUUUGAGUUGGAAAGGUCACCUUGUCCAAUCCCCUGCAAUAAACAGUUACUUCAACUAGAUCAGGUUGCUCAAAGCCCUGUCCAGCCUGAUCUAGAAUGUUUCCAGAGAUGGAGCAUCUGCCACCUCUCUGGCCAAUCUGUUUCAGUACCUUCGCUGUAAAAGAAUUCUGCCUUAUGUCUAGUCUGAGUCUACCCUUUUUUGGUUCGAAAUCAUUAACCCUUGUCCUGUCACAGGAGGCCCUGCUAAGAAGUCUGUUCCUCUCUUUCUUAUAAGCCCCCUUUAGGUCCUGGAAGUAGGUCACCCCAGAGCCUUCUCUUCUCCAGACUAAAGAACUCCAACUCUCUCAGCCUUUCCUCGUAAGGAGAGGUGUUCCAUACCUCUGAUCAUCUUCAUGGUCCUCCUCUGGAGUUGCUCCAACAGUUCCAUGUCCUUCCUGUGCUAAGCACCCCAGAACUGGGUGCAGCAUACCAGGUAGGGUCUCACCAGAGCAGAGCAGAGGGACAGAAUCACCUCCCUCAACCUGCUGCCCACACUGCUUUUGGUGCAGACCAGGACACGAUUGGUCUGGCUUUCUGGGCUGCCAGUGCACAUGUUGUCAGCUUGUGUCCAGCCUCUGAUCCACCAGCCUCCUAAGUCCUUCUUGGCAGGGCUGCUUGUGAUCUGCUCAUCCCCCAGCCUGUAUUUAUAUUGGGGGUUGCCCCAAGGUACAGCACUUUGCAUUUGGUCUUAUUAACCCUCAUGAGAUUCUUGUGGGUCCACUUCUCUAGCUUGUCCUGGUCCCUCUGGAUGGCAUCCCAUCCCUCAGGUGUGUCAACAGCUCACAAGGGAACUUCAGGUUUUUCAGUUUUCCAUUUAAUUUGAAAUCUGUGGGACAAAAAUGUUCUCAAUUUGUUAGCAUCCAUCUUUCAAAUUCAGCAGAUCACUGUCAAUAGGACAGCUCAGAACUGGAAUAUUACUGAACUGGAAAUGCGGUUCAGAAUUAAGAUGCAGUGUUUCAGAGAGGGGGACUUAUGUGUCAGUGGACACAUACAAAGAUGCUAAAGAAGGCUACAGGUAGAUAUCAAGGUCUUAUUCACUCUGAAAGUCGCUGUCUUGUAUAUUCAAGCUUCCGGUUUUCCGUUUAAACCAAUAUUUAUACAGAAUGAAAAUAUUCACACUAUAAAAUUUUUAAUAUAUAAACCCCAGUAUCCCCCUAAUUAUUCAGUCAGCUGUUUGGAUGUGUGCACUGACAGGGACAGUAUGAAGGAACAGUGGCUCAAGUGUUUUUUAGUGUGAAGGGUGUUUUUAUCUGUGUUAGCAACUGUUCAGUAGGCAGCAAGUCCUCAAUAACAAAUUUUUUUUAAUCCUGAUUUUGUUUUAUUUUUUCCCAUUUCCUUAUUUCUACAGCUUGCCCAUCAACUUCAUGCCAGUCCUGGUCAGCCUCAUCUGAGGGAUCAGAGGCGGUGAAAACUGUCCAGUUUCUGGAUCUAGGACCUACAAGGAUGGUCACAGAUUCAGAUGACUUUUCUGUGGGGGAAAGAAUCUGAACAAUCUUUCUGAGGCUAAGUGGAGAUGAUCUGGCCAUUACUGGAUUAAAUCUUUCUUCAAGCCCAAUCAGAUCUAUCUAUAUGACCUCCAAGCCUACUGAUGUCCAACCUGAACCUCCCCUGGCGCAGCCUGAGACUAUGUCCUCUCAUCCUGUUGCUGGUUGCCUGGGAGAGGAGGCUGACUCCUACCUUGUUAUAGCCUCCUUUCAGUAUGUUCUGUCUACCCCGCUGCUGGAGAAAUACAAAGUCAUGAGGAAACCCAAUAGGCCCCAGUUGUCAUGUGCUGUAAGUAAGGACAAUUUGACUUCCUGACAUACUUUGGUAUGAAUGUAGUGUUUGUCACACGAAUGAGUCUAUGCUUGUUUAUAUGCAAUGCCAUGACAUUUCAGCCAUGGAGUUUGGAUUUUCUGUUUGCAGUUCUCAUGAAGAUUGUUUAAAAUAACAGAUCCUUAACUGUUACAGACUGAUUAGUUAAUUUUAUAACUGAUAAAAACAAUAAAGUAAUAAACAUCAAAGUACUUAAGUCCAAAGUCCAAAAAUGUAAAGUGAGAACAAAUAUAUGAAUGUUUGACAGUUAAUUCUGAGUCCCUGUGUACAUGUGUAUUUGUGUAUUAUGACCUGUCCCAUUUAUGUGUUGUACAGUCUGUGCGUCAUCACUGCUUAACUCCACUCUCUGUGUUGUGCAAUUUGUUUGGGCUUGCAUGUUACAAGUCAAUAUAUUGGUUUUCGUUAGUGGUCUGGUUUCAUAAACGGAAUUAUCUCUUUGGAUGGAAAAUAGAGCAAAAAAACACAUAUGUUGCUUUAGAAGGACAGUGUUCUUGUUUGUGUGCAUAGGUAUUACUUAACAUAGGUUGUGUAUAAUAGACUGUGUGCCUUUUUUUGUUAGCUAAAAUAAGAUUUAAUUGCGUGUGUAAUAUACUGAGUAAAAUUUUAAAAACACGUUUCUACCUAAAGCAAUGGAGUUAAAACAUACUUGCUUAUUUUUCCUAGUCUGAUGUUUUCUCUCAACCCUGUUAUUACUACUUUUAUGCACCAAAGAUAAACUACUUGCCCUAGAAAUCUAAGAACAGGAAAACUCUGCCCCGAAAAGUUUAUUUUAACAUAUAGUUAAUAUACAGUUCAUAGUGUUGCUAGAUAAGCAAAUUAUGCAGAAAAAAGCAAAAGUUAUUAGAUCACAUGUGAUGUGCAGCCCUGUAGGAAGUAUGGAAGAAAUACAGACAUUAGCCCCAAUGUCCCAAAUUCCAGAUGGUAUGUCAAUGAAAGAGCAUCUGUCCUCUGUUGAAUCCCUUUCUCCUGGUUUUCGACACCUCAGGUACAUGCUUUGACAUGAUAGCCCCAAUAAGCACAACAGAAAUAUACAGAAUAUCUAAUGGGGAAAUAUAAACUAUUUCUUCUUUUUUUUAUUUUGGUUUGGUUUUGGGUUUUUUUGUUGG